rnacentral:sRNA from 1 species
GUUUGCGCUUAUCAGGGAAGGGUGAAAACCUUCGAUUAAGGUUCGACUCGAGCGAUAGCGAGAGAACGUUGCCGCAGGCAACGGCCCGAAGGGUGAGGAGCGAAGCGACGAAUAAUCCUUCCCCCACCACCA